GUUGGCGGUAAUGAGCUUUGUUAGUUUGCAAGCUGCCAAUAAUCUCCAAAGAAGAAGCAGGGUUAAUGUUGUUUUGGGUUUGAGAGUUUAUUAAAUCAUACUUUGGGGACUGCACGGUGGUUCUCCUAACGGUUUACUUUCUUGUGGACAUUAAAAGUUAUUAGUGGCGCAGAUAACUGUAGCAAUUGUUUAUUUCUGGAAACAAACACCAAAAUUGGGACAUGUAUUCCUUUGUAAAAACACAUUAGCCACCAAAAUUUUUAAUAGGCAGCCAGGUAGGGGUCAAAUGAAGAAUUACACAGGGGUCAAAAUUUAAAAAUGCUCCAGUCAUAUUGAAUACUACACUACAUUAUUUGUCUGAUCAGAAAGAUUCCAAAAAGGUAUAAAGGUAAAAUAGUUUGGACUAUGUAUGACUGAAUAUUAUGAAAUUAUGUAGAAAAACAGCAACAAGGGUGACAAAGGUCAAUGUCAGUUUGUACAGGGGUCAAAAGUUAAAGUUGCUUUAAAAAGUGAAACAAAUUAUUGGUUAACAGGGUUUUAAAAAAGAAUAAUUUGCACCAUGUAUCAUGCUUAGUUAUCACGUGAUGGGGUAACAUAUCACAUCAUAUCAUAGAAUCCAAUGCACAUUGACCUUGUUUGACCUUUACUUUGUACUUUGGAGACCAAACAUUCAACACAGUCAAAAUUAUUCCACUUAUUAAUCAUGCUACAGAAUUCAGAAGUGAGCACCGGUGUUCUGUCGAGAUGAGGUGCCUUGCGUAACUGCAUAUGUGUUCACUGAGAAAAUUACUUGACAAAGUUUGCUUAUUUUGAUGGUCAAGUAAAUGUAUAAAUUGUUCAUCCGCACGUAGUAAGGUAUAAAAUCUACUCACUAUAAA